UUAACUCAAUUUUGUGUGGAAUUGGAACGUUUGCCUACGUUUGCCGCUAGGGUCGAUGUUCCAACUGCAUACAAAUUAAUGCA
rfam:Bombyx mori DNA, contig: Bm_scaf120_contig38185, strain: p50T/Dazao, build 2, whole genome shotgun sequence.